rnacentral:ncRNA from 1 species
UUAAAUGCAAUGAAUGGGAAGAGUACAAUAUAAUUACCUAUAAGAGAGGGAAGUAUUAAGCUGAAAACUUCCUAGGACAAAUUAUAUUGGAAGGUCGCCCUUGAGCUGCUUCUUUGAAAAUAUAAUCAGAGCUGAUUAUACAUGUAGAAGAAUGCCGGUGAGUAACCGUUACUGAACAUGAGUGUACAAGUGUAUUUCGCUUGUAAACAAAGGUGGUACCACGGAAAUAUACCUUUUCGUCCUUUUA